UACGUAGGGGGCAAGCGUUGUCCGGAAUCACUGGGCGUAAAGAGCACGUAGGCGGUAUGUUAAGUUAGGUGUGAAAGUUUGCAGCUCAACUGUAAAAGUGCAUCUAAAACUGGCAUACUUGAGUCUCGGAGAGGUAAGCGGAAUUCCUAGUGUAGCGGUGAAAUGCGUAGAGAUUAGGAAGAACACCGGUGGCGAAGGCGGCUUACUGGACGAGUACUGACGCUCAGGUGCGAAAGCGUGGGGAGCAAACAGG
rnacentral:rRNA from 1 species